AUUGAACGCUGGCGGCAUGCCUUACACAUGCAAGUCGAACGGCAGCACGGGAGCAAUCCUGGUGGCGAGUGGCGAACGGGUGAGUAAUAUAUCGGAACGUGCCCAGUCGUGGGGGAUAACGCAGCGAAAGCUGUGCUAAUACCGCAUACGAUCUAAGGAUGAAAGCGGGGGAUCGCAAGACCUCGCGCGAUUGGAGCGGCCGAUAUCAGAUUAGCUAGUUGGUGAGGUAAAGGCUCACCAAGGCUACGAUCUGUAGCUGGUCUGAGAGGACGACCAGCCACACUGGAACUGAGACACGGUCCAGACUCCUACGGGAGGCAGCAGUGGGGAAUUUUUGGACAAUGGGCGCAAGCCUGAUCCAGCAAUGCCGCGUGCAGGAUGAAGGCCU
rnacentral:rRNA from 1 species